CAAAAAACGAAAGGUAUUCAUGUCUAUACUCGAAGUUAGACCACCGCAUGUCUCUAAGUAUAACAGCGGAAAGCGCAUCCAAGAAUGUUCGUAAUGUUUGCGAAUUAUCAGUACUGUUUGUGAAUGAGAAGAGGCGAAAUAAUACAAAUUGCAGCGAUGGAAGUUGGCAAGACGGAGCGAGGGUCAAGGGCGAAAAUGCCGCUGAAAUAUAUUUGGUCAAUCUGUCAUGCGACGCCGUCUUUGUCGGUUAGUGCAGAUCCAUGUCUGCCAAUUCGGACCCCGUUUGUUGAGACGCAAUCCUUUCGUUGAAGAAGAAUAUAAUGGAAGUGUACAACUGCUAUAUGGUGUUAUUGGUUUUGGCAAUUACGGGCGCCGUGAUGCCAACGGCUGCAGUCUGGGGCGUGGUAGGAAAAUACAAAGGGAGCGACAGUCAUCUUUUCGCAUUAGGCAUAAUUCCUGUCGGGAUAGGCGUUUUUGGCCACUACCUUAUUCGUAAUAAACGAAUGGGCAAAGAUUACUAUGGGUUUGCGUAUGGAAAUGAUGGCCAAUAUCGAAGAUGAUGAUAAGUAAACUCUUUAAAAAAAGAACAUAAAAAGAAACAAAAAGAAAAAGGAAAAGAACAUAAAACAUUUUCCUUAAAGCAAUAAAAUGUUGACCAUAAGUGUAACCGAA